rnacentral:rRNA from 1 species
AUUGAACGCUGGCGGCAGGCCUAACACAUGCAAGUCGAACGAGUGGCGGACGGGUGAGUAAUGUCUGGGAAACUGCCCGAUGGAGGGGGAUAACUACUGGAAACGGUAGAUAAUACCGCGUACCAUCGGAUGUGCCCAGAUGGGAUUAGCUUGUAGGUGAGGUAACGGCUCACCUAGGCGACGAUCCCUAGCUGAUCUGAGAGGAUGACCAGGCACAUGGGAACUGAGACACGGUCCAUACGCCGACGGUGGGCGGAGGUGGGGAAGAUUGCGCAAUUGGCGCAAGCUUGAUGCAGCCAUGCCGCGUGUAUGAAGAAGGCCUUCGGGUUGUAAAUUACUUUCAGCGGGGGGGCGUUACCCGCAGAAGAAGCACCGGCUAACUCCGGUCCAGCAGCCGCGGUAAUUC